rnacentral:rRNA from 1 species
CCUACGGGUGGCAGCAGUAGGGAAUCUUCCACAAUGGGCGAAAGCCUGAUGGAGCAACGCCGCGUGGGUGAAGAAGGUCUUCGGAUCGUAAAACCCUGUUGUUAGAGAAGAAAGUGCGUGAGAGUAACUGUUCACGUUUCGACGGUAUCUAACCAGAAAGCCACGGCUAACUACGUGCCAGCAGCCGCGGUACUACGUAGGUGGCAAGCGUUAUCCGGAUUUAUUGGGCGUAAAGGGAACGCAGGCGGUCUUUUAAGGCUGAUGGGAAAGCCUUCGGCUUAACCGGAGUAGUGCAUUGGAAACGGGGAGACUUGAGUGCAGAAGAGGAGAGUGGAACUCCAUGUGUAGCGGUGAAAUGCGUAGAUAUAUGGAAGAACACCAGUGGCGAAAGCGGCUCUCUGGUCUGUAACUGACGCUGAGGUUCGAAAGCGUGGGUAGCAAACAGGAUUAGAUACCCCUGUAGUC